AGUGAACGCUGGCGGCAGGCCUAACACAUGCAAGUCGAACGGCAGCACAGUAAGAGCUUGCUCUUACGGGUGGCGAGUGGCGGACGGGUGAGGAAUACAUCGGAAUCUACUUUUUCGUGGGGGAUAACGUAGGGAAACUUACGCUAAUACCGCAUAUGACCUACGGGUGAAAGCAGGGGAUCUUCGGACCUUGCGCGAUUGAAUGAGCCGAUGUCGGAUUAGCUAGUUGGCGGGGUAAAGGCCCACCAAGGCGACGAUCCGUAGCUGGUCUGAGAGGAUGGUCGGCCACACUGGAACUGAGACACGGUCCUGACUCCUGCGAGAGGCAGCAGUGGGGAAUAUUAGGCAAUGGGCGCAAGCCUGAUCCAGCCAUACCGCGUGGGUGAAGAAGGCCUUCGGGUUGUAAAGCCCUUUUGUUGGGAGAGAAAAGCAGCAGGUUAAUACCCCGCUGUUCUGACGGUACCCAAAGAAUAAGCACCGGCUAACUUCGUG
rnacentral:rRNA from 1 species